rnacentral:lncRNA from 1 species
CUUUCCGGCCGGACUGCCGCGCCUGUGGCCGGAAGAGCCAGCUAGACCAGAGAGUCUGUACCUGCAACCCUGGCGGCGUCCGAGCCCAAGGCGGAGUCUGGGAGACAAAGAAGUCCUCGCCGCCGGCCGCUGGAGGAUUCUGCCAGUAGUGAAGUCAGGGAUGGGCCCGAGAGAGCUUGGAAAGAGGACAAGGAAGGGAAGGAGUAGGAGUAGAAAAGCAUGACUUUGGCUGGAGAUGGGGUCUCGUUAUGUUGACCAGGCUGGUCUUGAACACCUGACCUGAAGUGAUCCUCUUGCCUCAGCCUCCCAUAGUGCUGCGAUCACAGGUGUAAGUCACUGAGUUUGGCCAUUAUUCCAUUUCUGUACACAAAAACCUUUCUCAUUCUGUGCUAUAACUAGUUAGCAUUUAAUUGGGUGGAUGUGGUAUAACUAGUGCCUUGUUGAUAUUGAUGCAUAUUUACAUGGUUUUGCUGUUAUAAACAAUGGUCCCUUGCUAUUAUAAAUCACACUGCUAUAAGUAACCUUGCAUCUAAAUUACUUCAAAUGUGUAACUAUAUGGGUAGGAUAAUUUCUAGAAGUGGAAUUGUGAACCAAAGUUUUAGGUGCAUUUGUAAUUUUGAUUUAUAACCAAUCUUUUCACUGAUCUACUUCUCUGCCUCUAAUUUCUACUAGGUGUUUGUUUGUUUGUUUGUUUGUUUUGAGACAGGGUCUUGCUCUGUCACCCAGGCUGGAGGACAGUGGUGCAAUCACGGCUCACUGCAGCCUCAACCUGCCACCUCAGCCUCCUGAAUAGUUGGGGUGUGUGGCAGGUGUAUACCACCACUUCCAGGUUUUUUUGUUGUUGUUGUUUAAUAGAGAUGAGGUCUUGCUAUAUUGCCCAGGCAGGUCUCACACUACUGAGCGCAAGCGAUCCUCCUGCCUAUGCCUCCCAAAGUGCUGGGAUUACAGGUGUGAGUUGCCAUGCCUGGCCCGGUUAUCUUUCUAAAGCAUAAAGCAACCCUGUUGAUCCUCUGCUUAAUUUUGAUGAUUAAGUAGUAUGUUCAAAAUAUAGAAAUCCAUGUAUUGAUAAUGAUCUUUUAAAAAAAGUAAAAGCCAAAAUAUCAGCUACUCAUCCUACACCAUUGAAAGUAGUGACCAUUAAACUGCUCUACCUCUACCUCCACCUCUCUACCUCUCUACCUCUCUACCUCUACCUCUACCCACGGUCUCCCUCUCUUUCCAUGGUCUCCCUCUCAUGUGGAGCCGAAGCUGGACUGUACUGCUGCCAUCUCGGCUCACUGCAACCUCCCUGCCUGAUUCUCCUGCCUCAGCCUGCCGAGUGCCUGCGAUUGCAGGCACGCGCUGCCACGCCUGACUGGUUUUGGUGGAGACGGGGUUUCGCUGUGUUGGCCGGGCCGGUCUCCAGCCCCUAACCGCGAGUGAUCCGCCAGCCUCGGCCUCCCGAGGUGCCGGGAUUGCAGACGGAGUCUCGUUCACUCAGUGCUCAAUGGUGCCCAGGCUGGAGUGCAGUGGCGUGAUCUCGGCUCGCUACAACCUACACCUCCCAGCCGCCUGCCUUGGCCUCCCAAAGUGCCGAGAUUGCAGCCUCUGCCCAGCCGCCACCCCGUCUGGGAAGUGAGGAGUGUCUCUGCCUGGCCGCCCAUCGUCUGGGAUGUGAGGAGCCCCUCUGCCUGGCUGCCCAGUCUGGAAAGUGAGGAGCGUCUCCGCCCGGCCGCCAUCCCAUCUAGGAAGUGAGGAGUGCCUCUUCCCAGCCGCCAUCACAUCUAGGAAGUGAGGAGCGUCUCUGCCCGGCCGCCCAUCGUCUGAGAUGUGGGGAGCGCCUCUGCCCCGCCGCCCCAUCUGGGAUGUGAGGAGCGCCUCUGCCCGGCCGCGACCCCGUCUGGGAGAUGAAGUUCUGCUCUUGUUGCCCAGGCUGGAGUGCAAUGGCGCGAUCUCGGCUCACCACAACCUCUGCCUCCUGGGUUCAAGUGAUUCUCCUGCCUCAGCCUCCCGAGUAGCUGGGAUUACAGGCAUGCACCACCACUCCCAGCUGAUUUGUUGUAUUUUUAUAUUUUUAGUAGAGACGGGGUUUCUCCACGUUGGUCAGGCUGGUCUCGAACUCCCAACCUCAGGUGAUCUGCCCGCCUCAGCCACCCAAAGUGCCAGGAUAACAGGCGUGAGCCACUGAGUCCGGCAAUUAAUAAAUCCUUUUUUUUUUUUUUUUUGAGAUGGAGUCUCGCUCUGUCGCCCAGGCUGGAGUGCAGUGGCAUGAUCUCGGCUCACUGCAAGCUCUGCCUCCUGGGUUCACGCCAUUCUCCUGACUCAGCCUCCAGAUUAGCUGGGACUACAGGCGCCCACCACCACGCCCGGCUAAUUUUUUGUAUUUUUAGUAGAGACGGGGUUUCACUGUGUUAGCCAGGAUGAUUGUGAACUCCUGACCUCGUGAACUGCCCUCCUCGGCCUCCCAAAGUGCUGGAAUUACAGGCUUGAGCCACUGUGCCCGGCCUAAUAAAUCUUAAUGAUGGCUUUUCUUCUGUGAAAACACCUGACCACUGACCCACCAAAUCUCCCACAGGAAAAGUAAACUUUGAAGUUACUUUUGUCUUGUUCCCUCUUCCUGGUUGCUAGUUUAAUGUAAUGUUUUUGCAAUAGCUAGACUGCUGUAAUAUACUGUCAGUGUUUUUCCAAUUAAAUAGAAACAGAGCUAUAUAAUUA